UGUAUCAAUACACUGAUAAAUAAAAUGCAUUAAUUUAUAUCCCAAAUCCACAGAAUACCAUAUAUUCUAUUUUUAUCUGCAGGAUAAACAGCAAUGCAGUCAAGUAAAUGAAGCUACUAAUGGAAAGAUCGCAUGCAUUUCAACUGAUAUUCAGUUACUGAAGCAAUCCUAAUAAAAAAAAAAAAUUAUAGAUACUAUCAUG